UCCGAAGGGGGCUAUCGUUGUUCGGAAUAACUGGGCGUAAAGCGCAUGUAGGCGGAUUUUUAAGUCAGAGGUGAAAUCCCAGGGCUCAACCCCGGCAUUGCCUUUGAUACUGGAGAUCUGGAGUCUGGGAGAGGUGAGUGGAAUUCCGAGUGUAGAGGUGAAAUUCGUAGAUAUUCGGAGGAACACCAGUGGCGAAGGCGGCUCACUGGCCCGAGACUGACGCUGAGAUGCGAAAGCGUGGGGAGAAAACAGG
rnacentral:rRNA from 1 species